rnacentral:rRNA from 1 species
CCUUUACGGGAGGCAGCAGUGGGGAAUAUUGCACAAUGGGCGCAAGCCUGAUGCAGCAACGCCGCGUGGGGAUGACGGCCUUCGGGUUGUAAACUCCUUUCGUUAGGGACGAAGCCGCACCUUUUUUGGGUGUGGUGACGGUACCUUUGUUAAGAAGCACCGGCUAACUACGUGCCAGCAGCCGCGGUAAUAAGG